CCUGACUGCUAUCGGACCGUUACUAAGCCAUGCGAGUCUUUGCAGUAAUGCAAGGCAUACGGCUCAGUAACACGUAGUCAACUUACCCUAUGGACGAGGAUAAUCUCGGGAAACUGAGCAUAAUACUCGAUAGAUCAUAAUGCCUGGAAUGGUUUAUGGUUGAAAUGAUUCGUCGCCAUAGGAUGGGACUGCGGCCUAUCAGCUUGUUGGUGAGGUAAUGGCCCACCAAGGCGAUUACAGGUACGGGCUCUGAGAGGAGAAGCCCGGAGAUGGGUACUGAGACAAGGACCCAGGCCCUAUGGGGCGCAGCAGGCGAGAAAACUUUGCAAUGUGCGAAAGCACGACAAGGUUAAUCCGAGUGAUUUCUGCUAAAGAAAUCUUUUGCAAGUCAUAAAACCACUAGUGAAUAAGGGGUGGGCAAGUUCUGGUGUCAGCCGCCGCGGUAAAACCAGCACCUCAAGUGGUCAGGAGGAUUAUUGGGCCUAAAGCAUCCGUAGCCGGCUCUGUAAGUUUUCGGUUAAAUCCAUGUGCUCAACGCAUGGGCUGCCGAAAAUACUGCAUAGCUAGGGAGUGGGAGAGGUAGACGGUACUCGGUAGGAAGGGGUAAAAUCCUUUGAUCUAUCGAUGACCACCUGUGGCGAAGGCGGUCUACCAGAACACGUUCGACGGUGAGGGAUGAAAGCUGGGGGAGCAAACCGGAUUAGAUACCCGGGUAGUCCCAGCUGUAAACGAUGCAGACUCGAUGAUGCAUUGGCAUAUAGCCAGUGCAGUGUCGCAGGGAAGCCGUUAAGUCUGCCGCCUGGGAAGUACGUACGCAAGUAUGAAACUUAAAGGAAUUGGCGGGCCCCUAAAGGGGGGGGUGAAGCCUGCGGUUC
rnacentral:rRNA from 1 species